CGGUGUGCUUAUACAUGCAAGUCGAACGAUAAGGCACCUUCGGGUGUACAUAAGUGGCGGACGGGUGAGUAACACGUAGGUAAUCUACCUCGAGGAGGGGGAUAACACCGGGAAACUGGUGCUAAUACCCCAUAUGUCAUAAGCUGCAAUGUUUAUGAUGAAAGCUCCGGCGCCUUGAGAUGAGCCUGCGGCUGAUUAGCUUGUUGGUGGGGUAAUUGCCUACCAAGGCGACGAUCAGUAGCUGGUCUGAGAGGAUGAUCAGCCACAAUGGAACUGAGACACGGUCCAUACUCCUACGGGAGGCAGCAGUAGGGAAUUUUGCGCAAUGGGCGAAAGCCUGACGCAGCAACACCGCGUGUGGGAUGAAGCUUUUCGGAGUGUAAACCACUGUCAGAGGGGACGAAAUCUGACGGUACCCUCAGAGGAAGCAUCGGCUAACUACGUGCCAGCAGCCGCGGUAAGACGUAGGAUGCGAGCGUUGUCCGGAAUCAUUGGGCGUAGAGCGUUCGUAGGCGGGCUGUCGAGUCUGAUGUUAAAGCCCAGGAGUCAAUCCUGGUCCAGC
rnacentral:rRNA from 1 species